AUGCAACUCAGCUUGAGGCAACCUGGCUUGGGUACUGGGGCCUCAGUACUCCAAGACAGCCCCGCCUACCCUCAACUACAGCAACAGCUGCCUCCUACACUUCCUUUCUUGCCUCACCACGUGCCCACCCACAACUCCCUUCCUGCCUCCCACAGCCAGUGAAGAUGGCUAAACUACGGACUAUGGGCAUCCUCUUGAUCGAUCACUGAAGGAGCCUGAGAAACCUGUUGUUAAUCCUGUGCUUGGGAGUGGCUCUAGAUGUCUUCCACAGUCAGAUUCUCCCUGUGCUCAGGUCAGGAGCUGUCUUCUUGGGUACAAGAUGACAAAUGGGUACUUGGGAGGCAAACAGAUCUCUGGGAGUUUGAGGCCAGCUUCAGGGCAUUUUGAUGACUCUCCCUUUCUACACAUUAAAACUGGAACACACUGAACAGAGUCCUAUUCAGUGUGUGCUCCUCAAACCUGGGCCAGUAUCAGUGCCAGGCCUUUGAAUCACUACCUGCUGCCCAACCAGGUCAUUUAAGAUACAUUAAUUACAGUUUGGGCAAUGGCCUUCAAACAGGUCCUAAUGACAAACUGCAUUCAUGCUGCCCAGGAACUCAUUAGGUAACAUGCCAGGCCUUGUUCCAGAUUGAUUACAAUACACUUGGAGCUCUUGCUUCCCGCUACCAUGGAGAAUGGAAAACUACUCAACAGGGGGAAAGCCCCCAAGGGGCUGUCCUAGCUAUGAUUUGCAAAUAACCAGAGGACAGGUAGAGAACAGAUCCUUCUUAUUGUAACAAUGGCUGGAUAAGGAUGGGCCUCUGAGAAAAGCAGCACACUCAAUGCGGAAGAAACCAAGUGGAUACAUGGGAGAUGCUGUAAAUUAGGUCAAGAGCAGGCUAGGGAGGUCUUGGUAGUAGAGGGCUUUUCCAGGGCCCAAGACAGACCCGUGGCUCAGUGCCCAGCAACAAAAUGAGAAAAAGGUAGGUGUGUCAGACAUAGACGGUUUGUAUAAUGUCCAACUAAAUGUAGAGUGGCUUCAGAAAUGCACCAUGUUAAAUAUUUGGAUACAAACAACACUAUCUGAAAUUC
rnacentral:lncRNA from 1 species